rnacentral:rRNA from 1 species
CUACCAUGCAGUCGAACGGGGUAAUGACUUCGGUUAUUACUUAGUGGCGAACGGGUGAGUAACGCGUGAGAAACCUGCCUUUCAGUGGGGGACAACAGUUGGAAACGACUGCUAAUACCGCAUAAUGUUAUUUGGGGGCAUCCCUGAAUAACCAAAGAUUUAUUGCUGAAAGAUGGUCUCGCGUCUGAUUAGCUAGAUGGCGGGGUAACGGCCCACCAUGGCGACGAUCAGUAGCCGGUCUGAGAGGAUGAACGGCCACAUUGGGACUGAGAUACGGCCCAAACUCCUACGGGAGGCAGCAGUGGGGAAUAUUGGGCAAUGGGCGAAAGCCUGACCCAGCAACGCCGCGUGAAGGAAGAAGGCCUUCGGGUUGUAAACUUCUUUUAGCAGGGACGAAUUCUGACGGUACCUGCAGAAAAAGCAACGGCUAACUACGUGCCAGCAGCCGCGGUAAUACGUAGGUUGCAAGCGUUGUCCGGAUUUACUGGGUGUAAAGGGCGUGUAGGCGGAGAUGCAAGUUGGGAGUGAAAUCCCGGGGCUCAACCCCGGAACUGCUUUCAAAACUGUAUCCCUUGAGUGUCGGAGAGGCAAGCGGAAUUCCUAGUGUAGCGGUGAAAUGCGUAGAUAUUAGGAGGAACACCAGUGGCGAAGGCGGCUUGCUGGACGAUAACUGACGCUGAGGCGCGAAAGCGUGGGGAGCAAACAGGAUUAGAUACCCUGGUAGUCCACGCUGUAAACGAUGAAUACUAGGUGUGGGAGGACUGACCCCUUCCGUGCCGCAGUUAACACAAUAAGUAUUCCACCUGGGGAGUACGACCGCAAGGUUGAAACUCAAAGGAAUUGACGGGGGCCCGCACAAGCAGUGGAUUAUGUGGUUUAAUUCGACGCAACGCGUAGAACCUUACCAGGGUUUGACAUCCAACUAACGAA